AUGGGGGUCAUAUCGCAGUUGAAGGAACGUUAGUUCUACUUGAAGGAUCUUAGCAAUUCCAAUUGACUUAUCAAAUGCAAUAUCCUGAAAAUCAUUGUCAUGUUACCUUAAUUUAAUUUGGUUCUCUUUUACUUUAUUAGAGUUGUAAUUGUAACAUCAGUGACUUGUCAGUAGCGAAAAAAUAUCUUUCAAAAAAUGUGAAAAGGACUGCAGCGGGCCGUGACAGUGCACGGGCAUUUCGGCUAGUAAGAAAAAAAAACACGCACCG
rnacentral:lncRNA from 1 species